rnacentral:rRNA from 1 species
UACGUAGGUGGCAAGCGUUAUCCGGAAUUAUUGGGCGUAAAGGGUGCGUAGGUGGUUUCUUAAGUCAGAGGUGAAAGACUACGGCUCAACCGUAGUAAGCCUUUGAAACUGGGAAACUUGAGUGCAGGAGAGGAGAGUGGAAUUCCUAGUGUAGCGGUGAAAUGCGUAGAUAUUAGGAGGAACACCAGUUGCGAAGGCGGCUCUCUGGACUGUAACUGACACUUAUGCACGAAAGCGUGGGGAGCGAACAGGAUUAGAUACCCUGGUAGUCCCUGA